ensembl:snRNA U6 U6 spliceosomal RNA
UUGCUUUUGGCAGCAUAUACACCGAAAUUUGAAUGAUAGAAAGAUUAAUGUGGUCCCUGAGAAAGGAUGCCAUGUAAAUUCAUAAAGCAUUCCAUAGUUUU